UCUAUUUCGGCUGUGGAUGCUGCAAGUGACGCUCCUCUGGAGUGGAUCGCGCGAAUUGGCGGAUUCGGAUACUUUGAACUCGACCAGCCCUAAGGGGAGGCCACGGGAGAAUCACCAGAGCUGAGACGAAUUUAGAUAUUUAUUAUGGUCUUUGAAGGUAGAAUGGCAAAUCAGGAAGUCAUCGAAGUACAGAAGUGAAGUGUACAAGUGUUUCGAACACCGGGAACCCAAAGGGGAGGCUGCAGGAGAAGCUCCAGAGAUAUUUAUUAUGGUCAUUGAAGAAAAAACGGUGAAUCAGGAAGUCACCAAACAUAUACAGAACAAAACUAAGUAAAAGAUAAAGAAAGCGGUCGUGUGAUGCACCUACUGAUGGCCUGGAACUACUGGAAGUGGACUAUGCGAAUCAGGAUUCUAACACGGUUACUGCAAGAACUAACAUUAAGGGAUGUAAUCUAUAAGCGACGCAGUUAAAAUUAACGAAACACCCCUAAGUAAUUCUUCUAGAUGAAAAGAGCCUCGAGUCUCUCCCACUGGCUCUUUGACCGUACGUGAAAACGUUCCUGUGGAUCGUGACUGGAAAUGACCGAGGUGGGAGGAUCCGAAGCUCAUCCCGCGACCGGCGAGAGUCGAACGAGCAUUUUCGUGGUGUCGAGCGGCGUUGGCUGCAUUUUCAGCGCCGGUGGCGGUCACGAGGGCGCGAACUAGUUCGUGAAUCAUGCCUAGAAUGCUUUACAUAAAUUGCUCGGGACCGACGUCACGUUCUCGGACCCCGAGCACGAGGCGACCACCGCGAGCAGGACGGAGAAAGAACGCUCGUUGGCCGCGAGGCAGAAGUGACUCAGCCUCUCCGCGCGCAUGAGGACACCGGGGGCCGCGAAGAGAGUCGGAAACUCCGGAAAGGUGAAAGCAUGCGCGCGACUCAUCCGUCCGGCUGGUAGAUACGUCCUCGGAUAUCCGAUUCCGCGAAAGGAUCUUGCGUGGAAUCGCGUAGAAUCGCUUGCGGUCGUUGCGUCACGACGGAAAGGAUUGCGACGUGACCCAGAUGAAGCGCUUAUCGUCGAGUCCGUGAGGCUCGCGUCAGACCCCCGGGGAAACCCUUCGUGUCUCACAGACACGAGUUCUUGAAUUAUUUUGGACUGAAUGUAAUACAUCUACUGCGUAUUUACAAUUUUAGUAUUCUUCGUUAUUAAGUAACUUGGGUGGGUGGAUGAAACAGAAAUGGUUCCAUCGAUGGUUUGUUAGAAUGAAUCGGAGUAUUAACGCUAAACCCACCGAUGUUUCAUUUAUAACUAUUCCUAUCUCUGUGAUGGGACAGACGACUGGUCUUGAUCUUUUCAAUUAAUAUUUGAAAUUAAAUUGAAUAACGCAUGGAACAAUACGAUUCACGUAUUGCAUAUAAGAACCGCAUAUAAACUGUACACAAAAUUGAAUAAUGUAUGAAACAAUUGUAUAUCAUUCAUAUAUUGCAUAUAAGAACUGUAUACAAAAGUUUGAAACCUGUAACCGACUGGUCACGGUAGGUUUAGCGUUAAGAAUGGGUUGGAAUGACUUCACCUUCCACUGGGCUGAUGGAAAUGUUCGUGCCCCGCGUCGAAAG